rnacentral:lncRNA from 1 species
UGAUACGAUCAUAAAUAUCUCCAAAAAUCUAGAUAUUCGUUCUAUAUCCGCCCCUAUUCUUUAGGUAUAGUAUAUACAUAUGUAACUGGUAGAUAGAUAUGUAUAUGCGGAUGCGUUUAAGUAGUAUACAUUUUUGUUAAUGAUAAUAUACAUUCCAGCAGUUUUAACAUGUAAGAUGUUUUGGAUAAGUUCUUUUUUGUUUCACAUUGUAAGGUGUUUUAAAAUAUAUACUAGGGCUGGGCAUAAAAUAUGUAACCCGAAAUUCAGACCGAAAUACCCGAUUCGUACCUGAUCCGAAAUGUAAAACAAUUAUAUGAAUGUGUUUUUAGGAUGUUACAAAAUAUAUCUGAACCUAAAGAGUUAUUAAUCAAACCCGAACGGAUAACCCAAAAAAUAAAAAAAUUCGAAGAAAAUAAUCUGAAUAUUCAAAUUAAUAUACAAUAUAAAUAUUUAAACCAUAAAUAUGUACCUCAAAUAUCAAUUUCAUAUUUAUUUCGAUAUAAUAUCUAACAAGAAAUAUUUAAAAUUAAAUAAUUGCUUUAAAUACUCGAUUCUAUAUAAAUAAGUAAGGUUUUAGAUUUUACUUCAGAUAUAUCCGAACCGAUCCGAUAUAACCUGAGUCAAAUGAUAUAUGGUUACUUUAUGGAUUGUGGGAUGUGAUACAAAUCCGAUCCGAAACUGAUAUGUUAUAUCCAAUCCCGAUCU